ACAUACGACCAUAGCCGCUAGUGAAAUCGGGCUCUCGUCCGAUCGCCCAAGAUAACCUAGCGAGCGCCGAAAUAGUAGUUGGGUCGGUGACGACCAGCGAAUUCUCGGUGUUGUAUGUA
rnacentral:rRNA from 1 species